rnacentral:pre_miRNA from 1 species
GUUCCCUGCCCACAACGAGCUUAUAGUCUAGAGAACUGUAAUGAAUCAAUCAAUGGUAUUUAUAGAACACUUAUUUUGUGCUCUAGACUGUAAAGUCUUACAGGUCUCUAGACUAUAAACUCGUUGUGGGCAGGGAAU